AGUUUGAUCCUGGCUCAGGAUGAACGCUGGCGGCGUGCUUAACACAUGCAAGUCGAACGAUGAUCCCCAGCUUGCUGGGGGGAUUAGUGGCGAACGGGUGAGUAACACGUGAGUAACCUGCCCUUGACUCUGGGAUAAGCCUGGGAAACUGGGUCUAAUACCGGAUACGACCAUCUGACGCAUGUCAUGGUGGUGGAAAGCUUUUGCGGUUUUGGAUGGACUCGCGGCCUAUCAGCUUGUUGGUGGGGUAAUGGCCUACCAAGGCGACGACGGGUAGCCGGCCUGAGAGGGUGACCGGCCACACUGGGACUGAGACACGGCCCAGACUCCUACGGGAGGCAGCAGUGGGGAAUAUUGCACAAUGGGCGGAAGCCUGAUGCAGCGACGCCGCGUGAGGGAUGACGGCCUUCGGGUUGUAAACCUCUUUCAGUAGGGAAGAAGCGAAAGUGACGGUACCUGCAGAAGAAGCGCCGGCUAACUACGUGCCAGCAGCCGCGGUAAUACGUAGGGCGCAAGCGUUAUCCGGAAUUAUUGGGCGUAAAGAGCUCGUAGGCGGUUUGUCGCGUCUGCUGUGAAAGACCGGGGCUCAACUCCGGUUCUGCAGUGGGUACGGGCAGACUAGAGUGAUGUAGGGGAGACUGGAAUUCCUGGUGUAGCGGUGAAAUGCGCAGAUAUCAGGAGGAACACCGAUGGCGAAGGCAGGUCUCUGGGCAUUAACUGACGCUGAGGAGCGAAAGCAUGGGGAGCGAACAGGAUUAGAUACCCUGGUAGUCCAUGCCGUAAACGUUGGGCACUAGGUGUGGGGGACAUUCCACGUUUUCCGCGCCGUAGCUAACGCAUUAAGUGCCCCGCCUGGGGAGUACGGCCGCAAGGCUAAAACUCAAAGGAAUUGACGG
rnacentral:rRNA from 1 species